UGCAAAUGAUGUUCUCACGAUGGUCUUCCAAGCCUCAUGGUGAGAGGCUCUGACGACAAAGCCAAUAGGCUUAACUGAUGCAAAACU